rnacentral:rRNA from 1 species
CUUUCAACAAUGGAUCUCUUGGCUCUCGCAUCGAUGAAGAACGCAGCGAAAUGCGAUAAGUAAUAUGAAUUGCAGAAUUCCGUGAAUCAUCAAAUCUUUGAAACGCAAAUUGCACUUCUUGGUAUUCCGAGGAGUAUACAUGCUUGAGGGUCAGUU